rnacentral:misc_RNA from 1 species
UCGUUUUAUAGCCUUUCGGUGCUUGAAUUCUACUUUCAUUCUCUUUAUCCUUUCUUUUUUGCACUGAUAUCUUUCAAGAAUGGAAUCGAAUUUUUCUCUGCUUCAAUCUUUUGCUUAAUUGGAAUCAUAUCCUUAUCCUUGGAUGUUGGAAGCAGAUGCUCUUAUAGCUUAGACAAAAAGCAAAAUCUAAAGCUGCAAUUGCUGACUUCUUAUUCUCAUUCCCAUAAUUCCUUUCCCUCUGUCACUCCCUCUCUCCUUUUUGUUUUGCUUUGCUUUCUUUUGACUCCAAAUCUCCCGCAUUUAUUGCGGUUCUUGGGUUGUUGGUCUUUUGAAAAGCUUUUGCCCGCUUUCUUGAAUUCACGUAAUGUGCUAGAGUAGUUCUUGUCUCUGUUGAUGAGAGUGUUCCCAAGCUGCAAACAUGGCUAUAGAUGUCUGCUCAGAGAUUUCAAGCGCUGGAAUUAGUCCAAGAAUUUCAUUCUCCCAUGAUCUCAACGAAACUGCAGAUGCUGUAUCCAUUGAAGAUUGCCAUCCUAGAUUAGACUCAUCUCUAUUGGAUUCAGAUUUUGAUUUCUGCAUUAGCAGCAGCUUUAUCCAAGAAUUGUCUUCUGCGGAUGAGCUCUUCUCUAAUGGCAAGAUCCUUCCUAUUGAAAUCAAGAAACAGUUAGUUUCAACUAAAGAUACCGAUCAACCAAAGCCGGUCGCUUCCGGUCGUCCUGUGCAAACUACUACAGAGACUACAGAGAAGAAGAAGCUACUGAAGGAGUUCUUGUCAAUGAGUAUUGAUGCAGAUGAAAAGCCUGCAUCGAAAUCUUUUUGGCAGUUCAAGAGAAGCAAUAGUCUGAAUUGUGAAAGUUCUCGAAGUAAAGGCCUAAUUAGGUCACUACAGUUUCUUUCAAGAAGCAACUCUACAGGGUCAGCUCCAAAUCCUCCAAAACAAGCAGUGUUUUCUAAGGAAACUCCGAAACCACGUUUACAAAAACAACAUUCAGCUCCAAGCAGAAAAUCACCGGCGGCAAGUUCAGGGGCAUUCUACUCUUAUAAUUCAGGGCAGAAACAUCCGCAAUUAAGGAAGUGUGGAUCUUAUGGGAAUGGGGUUAGAAUUAAUCCUGUCUUGAACAUACCACAUCCUUACAUUUCCAGAGGAACUGUGCAUCUUUUUGGUCUUCGUUCUCUGUUCUGUAACGGUAAGGUUAAAAAGAAGAAGAGAUGAUUAUUAAGUUGAGAGUUCCAUUUAUGACUGAAUCUUUUCAAGUACAGAUUUAUUUUAGCAGUCUAUCAUUUUCAUUCAUGGAAGAGCAUGUGAUGAUAUCUGCAAAUCGAAAGAAAAAUUCCACUGAAGAAAUGAUUAGAUCUUGAGAAAGAGAAUCUAAUGCAAAACAUUAAAAUAUGGAAAGUGAAAACUACAGUGGAGGAAUGGAAUUGGCAAUGUUGGAUGAUGGUGAUAGUUUUGUUGAUGCCUAUCAACAUGAUAAGAAAUUGGGAGACAUAUAAACAAGGUGUUUUAAUUUCAUUUGCUACUCCAUAUAUGCCUUGGCUUCUUUUUAUCCUUUUUCAAUUUUUUUCUUGAUCUCAACCAUUUUAAUUAUGGCUCUCUUUUGUUCUUUUCAACUUUGAUUGAGGCUUCUCUUUGUUUUUUUUUUGUAUAUAAAAUAUAAAAGUUCUUCAAUUUG